CACGCCGUAAACGAUGGAUACUAGGUAUAGGGGGUUAAGAUACCCUCUGUGCCGCAGCUAACGUAUUAAGUAUCCCACCUGGGGAGUACGGCCGCAAGGCUGAAACUCAAAGGAAUUGACGGGGACCCGCACAAGCAGUGGAGCAUGUGGUUUAAUUCGACGCAACGCGAAGAACCUUACCAAGGCUUGACAUAAUACUGCACAUGUUGGAAACAGCAUGGUCCUUCGGGACGGUAUUACAGGUGG
rnacentral:rRNA from 1 species